AUACGUAGGUGGCGAGCGUUAUCCGGAAUUACUGGGUGUAAAGGGUGUGUAGGCGGGAAGGCAAGUCGGAUGUGAAAAUUAUGGGCUCAACCCAUAAAGUGCGACCGAAACUGUUUUUCUUGAGGAUCGGAGAGGGAAUGAGAAUUCCCGGUGUAGCGGUGAAAUGCACAGAGAUCGGGAUGAAUACCGGUGGCGAAGGCGAAUUACUGGACGAUAACUGACGCUGAGACACGAAAGCGUGGGGAGUAAACAGGAUUAGAUACCCUGGUAGGCCACGCCCUAAACGAUUAAUGGUAGGUGUAGGGGAGUCAUCUUCUGCGCCUCAGCUAACGCCAUAAGCAAUCCACCUGGGGAGUACGGCCGCAAGGGUGAAACUCAAAGGAAUUGACGGGG
rnacentral:rRNA from 1 species